UUUUCUUUGCAAUGUCUCUAUACACAUUAUAUGACAGGAUAAGUGUGUUUUUCUUCCAUUUUUGCGUGAACUAAUUGCAGAUCCGCUCGUGUGCCGAGAGGGAGGUGAAGAGGAACGACAACAUCGCGGACGAGGACCGAGGAAACGUCAAGAGCUGCGAGAUCAACUAUGUGAAGAAGUUCCAGAGCUUCCAGGACAGGAAGUUGAGGGUGAACGAGGAGGACAGCGGCACGCUGAAGAAAGCCAGGACUGAAGGCAAAUUCCACGAGGCUUUACUCGACAGGAGAUCCAAGAUGAAAGCUGAUCGAUACUGCAAGUGACGCAGGAGGAACGUUUCCGUCAUUCUUUUUUUAUUUUACUUUUAUAAUGUUUACAUUUUUUUGCUUUAAAUUUGGCCAGUGUGAUGUUAUUGUGUUGUAUAUUAAACAAUUUAACUGACCAGA